rnacentral:tRNA from 1 species
AGCAGGGCGAUUGCUCCGCCUGAAAAGCGGAAGGUCGGCGGUUCGACCCCGCCCCUGACCA